rnacentral:rRNA from 1 species
GACAGAGGCCUCAAGCGUUAGGCGGAAUCACUGGGCUUAAAGCGUGUGUAGGCGGAUCGUUAAGUGUCUUGUGAAAUCCCACGGCUCACCCGUGGAACUGCUGGGCAUACUGGCGAUCUUGGGCCAACUAGGGGCAACUGGAACAAGCGGUGGAGCGGAUGAAAUGCGUAGAUAUCGCUUGGAACGCCAAAGGUGAAAACAGGUUGCUGGGGUUGUGCCGACGCUGAGACACGAAAGCCAGGGAGCAAACGGG